AGCAAUUCGAAAGAACAUCAAAGUGCAAGUAGGUAAACGGCGUUUCUGUGCGCUGCUCUGGUUCACCAGAAGUAGCUUAGCCAUGCUGGCCACAUGACCCGGAAGCUGUACGCCUGCUCCCUCGGCCAGUAAAGCGAGAUGAGCGCCACAACCCCAGAGUUGUCUACAACUGGGUCUAAUGGUCAGGGGUCCCUUUACUUGAAGGACCAAACCAAGAAUUACAACAAUCUCUUCCUCAAACUGGUUCAGCCUCCACCACCUUUACUGCAGUCAACUGAAGGCAACCAACUAUGCCCUGGGGGCCCCGAUCUUUCUCACUGCCAAUGAAAACUAAUAAAUGAAAAGGAAGAGAAGCUACCCAUGUCACACUGACACAAACACCUUGCAUAUGAACUUUGUAAAAUAAUGAAAGUGUACUACCCCUCCCCCGCUCGCUUUCUGCACCUCUCAAUUCCCCAACCUUACACUGUAUACAACAUUAAAGUCUGUCUGUCUCUGAAUUUUUAUGAUAUCCAAACAGAGUAGCUUAUAGUUAGGAAGCCAACACCCUCCCUUCAGAUGUGAAGGAAAUAAGCAGCUAUCCUAUCCUAAAAGACAUCUGAAGGCAGCCCUUUUUAGGGAAGUUUUUGAUAUUUAAUGCUGUACUGUUUUUAACACUUGAUUGGAAGCCACCCAGAGUGGCUGGGGAAACUCAGCCAGAUGGGCGGGGUAUAAAUAAUAAAUUAUGAUGAUGAUAAUGUAAUGAUCUUCCUCUGUUUCACUUCAGAUAAUUCAGUGGGGCCUCUUCUCAGUUCAUUCUCUUCUGGAUCAGUGCCUUAAUCCUUUGUAGAUUCUGUAUAUCACAGAAUAGCCAUUGAGGUGUCCCCAGAUGUUGUUGUCAAGUUCCCAUCAGCUUCAGCCAGCAGGGCAGACAGUCAAGGAUGAUAGAAACUCUAAUCUGGACCUCACCACCUGAACUCUGCUGCCCUAUAUCCUUCCCAUUGAAAGAAAUGUGAAAAUAAAUUUUGGACGCUAUAGAUUUAUCCUGGUCUGGUGCAUGCAAUGUCUUUUGUUUUGCAGCUGUGUGAUUUGUGCUCAUAUUGUAUUGUGGUGGCCAUUGGCUAUAAACAAUAAAAUUUAUAGAUACAGUAGAUUGAAAUGCAAAAAUAAGUAAUAAAAUAUAUAAAACGA